rnacentral:rRNA from 1 species
AUGCCUAACACAUGCAAGUCGAACGAGAUCUUCGGAUCUAGUGGCGCACGGGUGCGUAACGCGUGGGAAUCUGCCCUUGGGUUCGGAAUAACAGUUAGAAAUGACUGCUAAUACCGGAUGAUGACGUAAGUCCAAAGAUUUAUCGCCCAAGGAUGAGCCCGCGUAGGAUUAGCUAGUUGGUGGGGUAAAGGCCCACCAAGGCGACGAUCCUUAGCUGGUCUGAGAGGAUGAUCAGCCACACUGGGACUGAGACACGG